UACGUAGGUGGCAAGCGUUGUCCGGAUUUAUUGGGUUUAAAGGGUGCGUAGGCGGCUGUUUAAGUCAGUGGUGAAAGCCGAUCGCUUAACGAUCGAACUGCCAUUGAUACUGAAUAGCUUGAGUACAGAUGAGGUAGGCGGAAUUGACAGUGUAGCGGUGAAAUGCAUAGAUAUUGUCAAGAACACCGAUGGCGAAGGCAGCGUACUAAAGUGUCACUGACGCUGAGGCACGAAAGUGCGGGGAGCAAACAGG
rnacentral:rRNA from 1 species